CCGACGCUAGAAGUAUGGCGCUACCAAAGGGAGACCACUACAAUGCGAGAUGGCCGCAUGGAUCUUCGGAAAGAAAGAUCGCUCGAACCAACCAUCGACGUGAAAUAAAAGAGAAAUGCAGCGUCCAAUCUUUUAGCACAACUGGACAUCAGAAGAAUGAAUGACAAUUUAAAGCGAGCCAGAAGUUUUGCUCAAAGUCAGAACCGACCAACAAGCAUCGUAAGGGAAAUGUUGCAUAAGGUUUGAAGCUGUUCUUCUAGAUGAGGAUAUGAGUGUUGUAGACCAGAGAGGUGAUUAAAAAAUAGUCUGGGGACUGCAGAUUUUGAAAAAAGAAAACGUUACAUCUGUAGACCCUCCCAAGACAAAGUGGAGAGGGGUGCAUGAGGAGAGCUGGAGAAAAUGGAAACAGCAGCUGCAGGCAUGGCUUCCUUAAGAGGCUUGGUAAUUAAGAAAGAGCUUGCAGAUGAUUUCUCAUACCCUACUGAGUCUUCAUUCUCAGCUCAAUCACCAUCAACAGCAAAUGGAAUGGUCUCAGAAUACUGCACCGCAAAGCUCAAGUGGGGACAAACAGAAAACUGUACCUGUGAGUUUUCCACUAAAAGACUGAAAACUAGUAACAUUGUUGAAGAAGGUGAAGGAUAUACAAUAGAGAUUAAUCCAAGCUGGAAGGAAGAGUUAUCUGAUUUUUCACAGUGUGAAACAGGUUCGGGACAUCGUCUAAUAAAGCCAGAAUUAGAUUUGUAUACAAAUACAGAAUCUACCUGCAUGGAGUCUGACAAGAAACGGCAUGAUGAUAUGAUGACAGUGCUACGGUAAAGACUUAAAUGGGUCACUUAUCAUGCAAAUGUAGAUAGGGAACUAAGAUGCUAAAGCAGCCAAGGGUAAAUGAAAUACCAGAAGGAACACCAUCAUCUAAUUCCAUUCUACCAGCAAUUAGUCGAGAAGCACCAGUAGCUGACUCCAUUCUGACAACAAUCAGUCAAGCAGCAACAGCAUCUAACGUUCUAUCAACAACUAGUCAAGCUUCGAAAGACAGCUCUGUUUUUAGGGAGAGUUCCAGCCCUUUGAGGUUGUUGUCAGAUAAGGAUCCAACAUGUGUAUCUCCUGGUGAGGACUUGCAUUUCAGUGAAGACAGCUGUAUUAUAGGUAUGUUUGAUUCUGCUGUUGGACGAGAUGGCCAGUCUAAAGUACCUUUACAUGAGAACACCAGGACCUCAGACAAGCAUCUUCUCAAGACAAAAGUUUCAAAGAAGAAAAGCACAAAGUUUUUAAAAAAUGGUGUCACAUCAGAUGAUCUUUACAAGAAGUUUCUCCUGAGUAGUAUUAGGUGCAAUGAAUCUUACAUAGGAUUAGAGGAGUUUAAACAGAAAAAAAUGAAGCUUGAAAUUGAACUGCUGAAAAUGCAGAUUCAGCAACUUGAGAGUGAAUCAUGCUGUGAACAAGAUACUUGAAAUUUUUCUGACUCGGACUUACACCUGUGGGAAAUCAUCAUAGUGAAUGUUGAAAGAUCAGGUAUCCAGCUUACUUUGCAUUUGCCUUUGUGGUUCCAGGUGCUAAAAUGCUUCAACUAGUAAGACAAUACUUGAAAGAUAUUGCAAAGAAUCUGUUGAUGCAUUCUUACUGGGGGUUACAGUAAAACCACAAUAUUGUUAUUAAUAGAAAUCAUUUGGCAGCUUAAAAAUGAUUUUCUUUUUGUCACUAAACCAAAACUUUGCUUUAGUUUUUUUUUCAGAUUUUACUGGGGGUAUUUUUUUUUUUUGAUUUUGGAUUUGCAGUCAAUAUGAAACCAAAUAUUGCACUGACUAAACCUGGAAUGCAUUGCAGAUAUGCAUACUUGUUUUGUUUUUUUAAUUAGAGGAAAGUGUUUUGUAAAAAAUAAAUAAGAACAAUUAUAACUUACAAGAAACACCUUAGUAAUUACAGUUGCAAAUUUAUUUCCAAUAUCUGAUGUGUCACUAGGAACAGUAAUCAAAACCCUGAGAAAAUUUCUAUUGUUUUUUAAAAAAGGUAAGAUCAAAAUCAAACGUAAAUCACGUUGACUGUAAAGUGCAAUUUUUGAAUGACUUGAAAUAUUUAAAUAAAUUCAGAAAACGUUCGUGUCUUCUUCAUUAAAACAUUACAGUUA
rnacentral:misc_RNA from 1 species